UCCCGCUUAGCUCAGUGGUAGAGCGCGUCACUAGUACCUGCAGAUCAGGAGUCGGCACUUGCGAAAUGACGAGGUCAGUCGUUCAAGUCGGCUAGUGGGAA